UACAGAGGGGGCGAGCGUUGUUCGGAAUUACUGGGCGUAAAGGGCGCGUAGGCGGCCAACUAAGUCAGACGUGAAAUCCCUCGGCUCAACCGGGGAACUGCGUCUGAUACUGGAUGGCUUGAAUUCGGGAGAGGGAUGCGGAAUUCCAGGUGUAGCGGUGAAAUGCGUAGAUAUCUGGAGGAACACCGGUGGCGAAGGCGGCAUCCUGGACCAAUUCUGACGCUGAGGAGCGAAAAGCCAGGGGAGCAAACGGG
rnacentral:rRNA from 1 species